rnacentral:rRNA from 1 species
CUGGCCUACGGGGGGCAGCAGUGAGGAAUAUUGGUCAAUGGUCGGGAGACUGAACCAGCCAAGCCGCGUGAGGGAUGAAGGUACAGAGUAUCGUAAACCUCUUUUGUCAGGGAACAAAGGCGGGGACGUGUCCCCGGAUGAGUGUACCUGAAGAAAAAGCAUCGGCUAACUACGUGCCAGCAGCCGCGGUAAUACGUAGGGGGCAAGCGUUAUCCGGAUUUACUGGGUGUAAAGGGAGCGUAGACGGCGCGGCAAGUCUGAAGUGAAAGGCAGGGGCUUAACCCCUGAACUGCUUUGGAAACUGC